AGAGGAAGCCACGGCUAACUCUGUGCCAGCAGCCGCGGUAAUACAGAGGUGGCGAGCGUUGUUCGGAUUUACUGGGCGUAAAGGGCGCGUAGGCGGCCGCGUGUGUGGGGUGUGAAAUCUCCGGGCUCAACCCGGAAAGUGCGCCCCAAACUGCGCGGCUGGAGUGCGGGAGGGGAGAUCGGAAUGCAGGGUGUAGCGGUGAAAUGCGUUGAUAUCCUGCAGAACACCGGUGGCGAAGGCGGAUCUCUGGAACGCAACUGACGCUGAGGCGCGAAAGUCGGGGGAGCAAACAGGAUUAGAUACCCUGGUAGUCCCGACCCUAAACGGUGCACACUUGGGGUGGGGGGAUUUCACCCCCCCCGUCCCGUAGCUAACGCGUUAAGUGUGCCGCCUGGGGAGUACGGCCGCAAGGUUAAAACUCAAAGAAAUUGACGGGGGCCCGCACAAGCAGAGGAGCAUGUGGCUUAAUUCGAUGCAACGCGAAGAACCUUACCCGGGUUUGACAUGCAGCUGCACGUCCCGUGAAAGCGGGAUUCCUUCGAGGGUGCUGCACAGGUGCUGCAUGGCUGUCGUCAGUUCGUGCCGUGAGGUGUUUGGUUAAGUCCAGCAACGAACGCAACCCCUGUGUCCAGUUGCCAGCGCGUAAUGGCGGGAACUCUGGACAGACUGCCCGUUCACACGGGAGGAAGGUGGGGACGACGUCAAGUCAGUAUGGCCCUUACAUCCGGGGCUGCACACGUGCUACAAUGGCCGGUACAAAGGGAAGCGAGGCCGCGAGGCGGAGCCAAUCCCCAAAACCGGCCCCAGUUCAGAUUGGGGUCUGCAACCCGACCCCAUGAAGUCGGAUUUGCUAGUAACGGCGCAUCAGCUACGGCGCCGUGAAUACGUUCCCGGGCCUUGUACACACCGCCCGUCACAUCAUGAAAGCCGUCUGCACCCGAAGCCGGCGCCUCAACCCGCAAGGGAGAGAGCCGUCUAAGGUGUGGGUGGUGAUUGGGAUGAAGUCGUAACAAGGUAACCGUUGGGGAACCAGCGGUUG
rnacentral:rRNA from 1 species